rnacentral:rRNA from 1 species
CCUACGGGAGGCAGCAGUGAGGAAUAUUGGUCAAUGGACGGAAGUCUGAACCAGCCAUGCCGCGUGCAGGAAGACGGCUCUAUGAGUUGUAAACUGCUUUUGUAAAAGGGUAAACCUGAAUACGUGUAUUCAGAUGAAAGUACUGUACGGAUAAGGAUCGGCUUACUCCGGGCCAGCAGCCCCGGUAAUACGGAGGAUCCAAGCGUUAUCCGGAUUUAUUGGGUUUAAAGGGUGCGUAGGCGGGCCUGUAAGCCGGCGGUGAAAUCGCGGGGCGCAACCCCGCGGAGCCGUCGAUACUGGGGGCCUUGAGUGCGGCGGAGGCAUGCGGAAUGCGCGGUGUAGCGGUGAAAUGCAUAGAUAUCGCGCAGAACCCCGAUUGCGAAGGCAGCGUGCCGUGCCGCCACUGACGCUGAGGCACGAAAGCGCGGGGAUCGAACAGGAUUAGAUACCCCAGUAGUC